GGGGUUUCCCUUAAGACCCCAACAGGAAGACGUCUACUUUACUAUACCCCAGCAGGACAGAGGAUGAUUUUCUCCUCACCCAGCAAUAGCCCAGCCAAUAAGACACGGCCACAACUCACCCAAUGAGAAACUCACUACCUUGACUUUCCUCCAAUGGACUUUCCUUCAAGGCAGCCCCUCCCAACUUCCUCUCUUUUCUCUAGGAGGUCUGCUGUGGUCUGAGAGGAGACACCCCCCGCUCUAGUCCUGCAUGACCCUGGAUGUGACACAGGCUGUCUCUGGCCCCGCCCCAAGUGACAGCGGAAGAAGGUACUGGAGCCAGCAGAGUGCGGGGUAGGAGGCUUUAUUUCACAGAAGGGGUAGGAGGGAGAACCUGGACAGAGGGCAGCAGGCGGGGUGGGUGGGUGGUGGUGCUUGGAGAGGGACUGGGUCAGGAAAGGGCUGCCCCCGGGCCUGUUGGGAAGGAGAAACUGAAGCCGGCCUCUGCUGAGACCAAACCCAAGGGGGUGGGGGUGGGAGUGGAAAUUGGGUCUGGAGGAAUGAGGGCCCCCUCCCCCCGGGCUGGAUAUGGAGCCCGGGCCCUGCCUCAAUUUCCUCCUAUAGGGCCAUAGUCCCUCCUGGCUCACUAGGGCCACGUGGCCCCCAAACCUCACUGCUCCCGCCCCAGAGGAGGGGGCUAGAUCAGACAGGGCAGUUGACAGGGAGCCUGGGGAAGUCAGGGAGCGCGGGGUGGGGUCCACGGUGUGCGAAGGGGUGGUGGCCACCUGGGUGGUCAGUUCCUGGCAGCGAUGACCACAGAGAGAGCCACGCCCCCCAGGGCAACAGCAGUCGCCCCAAACAGCCACUUCCAUGGGAUGGACUGUGGAUAAAGGGGAGGGAAGAGAAGGCCGGAGGGUGGUCAAGACAGAUACCCUGGUCUUCACCUACCAACAUGGCCGAAAGAGGCCUCCCAGCAAACCAUUGCUGGACAAUGCCUUUCCUGCCUUCUGGCAAACUCCUACUCAAGCAUCGAAACUCCCCUGUCCUAGAACACUGCCCCUUCCCCUCUGGAAGAGCUAUCUAUCAUUCCCUGCCCCGAGCCCUCGAAAUUGUGUUCCAUCUCCUGCUCCAGCCCUGGCCACACAGGGCUGGGGCUUCUCUGUGUCUCCAGCAUGGUCCAGCCCGGUUGACAAGGACAUCAAUGCUUGCAAAAUGAAGAAACUCCUUCUGCGUGGUGUGCCCCACCCUUAGCCCCUACCCCUCCUCUGGGAGCAUCCCUGUGCCUGCCAGCCCCAGCUCACCCAGGCACCCUUGCCAGGACACUUGGCAGGCAGCCGGCUGGGGUUGCCCAGCAUUUUCCGGUACAGGGCGGUCUCUGUGCUCCGCUGGGCUGCGUGCUUCUUCACCAGUUUCGAGAGCUCUGCGUGGAUCGUCUGCAAGAGGUGGGUGUCAAUUGGGCGAAGAACAUGCAACCUGACCAUCUAACUGGAGCGCCAUCUCUGAGGCUCUGCCUUUCUGUGGCCCCUGGUCACUUUGGACUGGGUCCACUGGGACAUGGAAGUUCCACCUGCCCCUCUCUGGGCCUCAGCAAAGUAGGGGCCGGCAUCUCUAUCCCCCUAGGUAACCAGUGGAGGAGGCAGAGCACAAGGUGGCCAGGAGAGAGGAAGAUUCCAGGAGAAAAGCUGAAGACAUUGACACGGCCCCGGCUGGAACACCAUAG